rnacentral:rRNA from 1 species
CGCCUAACACAUGCAAGUCGAACGAGCGAGAGAGAGCUUGCUUUCUCGAGCGAGUGGCGAACGGGUGAGUAACGCGUGAGGAAUCUGCCUCGAAGAGGGGGACAACAGUUGGAAACGACUGCUAAUACCGCAUAAGCCCACGGUGCCGCAUGGCACAGAGGGAAAAGGAGUAAUCUGCUUUGAGAUGGCCUCGCGUCCGAUUAGCUAGUUGGUGAGGUAACGGCCCACCAAGGCGACGAUCGGUAGCCGGACUGAGAGGUUGAACGGCCACAUUGGGACUGAGACACGGCCCAGACUCCUACGGGAGGCAGCAGUGGGGAAUAUUGCACAAUGGGGGAAACCCUGAUGCAGCGACGCCGCGUGGAGGAAGAAGGUCUUCGGAUUGUAAACUCCUGUUGUUGGGGAAGAUAAUGACGGUACCCAACAAGGAAGUGACGGCUAACUACGUGCCAGCAGCCGCGGUAAAACGUAGGUCACAAGCGUUGUCCGGAAUUACUGGGUGUAAAGGGAGCGCAGGCGGGAAGACAAGUUGGAAGUGAAAUCUAUGGGCUCAACCCAUAAACUGCUUUCAAAACUGUUUUUCUUGAGUAGUGCAGAGGUAGGCGGAAUUCCCGGUGUAGCGGUGGAAUGCGUAGAUAUCGGGAGGAACACCAGUGGCGAAGGCGGCCUACUGGGCACCAACUGACGCUGAGGCUCGAAAGUGUGGGUAGCAAACAGGAUUAGAUACCCUGGUAGUCCACACCGUAAACGAUGAUUACUAGGUGUUGGAGGAUUGACCCCUUCAGUGCCGCAGUUAACACAAUAAGUAAUCCACCUGGGGAGUACGACCGCAAGGUUGAAACUCAAAGGAAUUGACGGGGGCCCGCACAAGCAGUGGAGUAUGUGGUUUAAUUCGACGCAACGCGAAGAACCUUACCAAGUCUUGACAUCCCUUGACAGGCAUAGAAAUAUGUAAUCUCUUCGGAGCAAGGAGACAGGUGGUGCAUGGUUGUCGUCAGCUCGUGUCGUGAGAUGUUGGGUUAAGUCCCGCAACGAGCGCAACCCUUAUGGUCAGUUACUACGCAAGAGGACUCUGGCCAGACUGCCGUUGACAAAACGGAGGAAGGUGGGGAUGACGUCAAAUCAUCAUGCCCUUUAUGACUUGGGCUACACACGUACUACAAUGGCGUUAAACAAAGAGAAGCAAGACCGCGAGGUGGAGCAAAACUCAGAAACAACGUCCCAGUUCGGACUGCAGGCUGCAACUCGCCUGCACGAAGUCGGAAUUGCUAGUAAUCGUGGAUCAGCAUGCCACGGUGAAUACGUUCCCGGGCCUUGCACA